GUGUUCUCAACUCAGCAGCACAUAUACUAAAAUCAGAAUGAUGCAAAGAUUAGCAUGGUCCCUGCUCAAGGAUGACAUACAAAUGUAUGAAACAUUCCAUAUUUUA